AUUGAACGCUGGCGGCAGGCCUAACACAUGCAAGUCGAACGAGUGGCGGACGGGUGAGUAAUGUCUGGGAAACUGCCUGAUGGAGGGGGAUAACUACUGGAAACGGUAGCUAAUACCGCCUACCAUCGGAUGUGCACAAAUUGGAGUCGCUAGUAGGUGGGGUAAAGGUGCACCUAGGCGACGGUCCCUAGCUGGUAUGAGAGGAUGAACAGCCACACGGGAACUGAGACACGGUCCAGACUCCUACGGGAGGCAGCAGUGGGGAAUAUUGCACAAUGGGCGCAAGCCGGAUGCAGCCAUGCCGCGUGUAUGAAGAAGGCCUUCGGGUUGUAAAGUACUUUCAGCGUGGAGGCGUUACCCGAAGAAGAAGCACCGGCUAACUCCGUGCCAGCAGCCGCGGUAAUAC
rnacentral:rRNA from 1 species